UACGUAGGGUGCAAGCGUUGUCCGGAAUUAUUGGGCGUAAAGAGCUCGUAGGCGGUCUGUUGCGUCGGCUGUGAAAACCCGGGGCUCAACUCCGGGCCUGCAGCCGAUACGGGCAGACUAGAGUUCGGCAGGGGAGACUGGAAUUCCUGGUGUAGCGGUGAAAUGCGCAGAUAUCAGGAGGAACACCGGUGGCGAGGGCGGGUCUCUGGGCCGAUACUGACGCUGAGGAGCGAAAGCGUGGGGAGCGAACAGG
rnacentral:rRNA from 1 species